AUGGGUCCUGUUGGUCCCAAAGGAAGUGAGGUAAAUAUGGAAGUACUCAGUGAACGUUUAGAUGGCUGUUGCUCCCUGCACUUGUAUGAGUACCAUGUAAUUUUAUAAUUCCUCUCAUCGCUCUGCAGGGUGAUCCAGGUGUUGUAGGAGAACCAGGCGUGAAGGGAGAUCAGGGGCCUCCGGGUAUUCCUGGAAUCAAGGGCGAGAGUGGAGAGAAAGGCCAGAGAGGAGCUACAGGAGCUGAUGGUCGUCCGGGACAGCCAGGCCAUGAGGGUCUGACCGGACCGCAGGGAGCCAGAGGUCUGGAGGGGGAACGAGGACUAUCAGGACCCCCUGGUCCCAGAG